AUCCUCUUGUGGUUCCUUAGUGUGAAUUGCGUUUUUAUGCCAUUGUGUGAGAUGUGCCUUCCUCAAACCUUGUAAUGGCAUCUGCACAUUACCAAUUGAUG